GUGACGGCAACACGUAAAGGCUGGAUGUUGAUGCACCCGGGACGACUCACUCAUUUCCACGAGGGCCUCGUGACGACCAAAGGAACACGAUAUAUCAUGAUUUCAUUUGUAGAUCCUUAAGAACGAACAUAAAAUUCUUAGAUUUCUGCAAAGUUCAUCUAUAUAUUUUUAUACAGUAUUUUGAUGAAACUAAUUUUAAGUUUCCUCAAAAUAAGCAUGUACAAUAAUAUUGAAUUUUAAGAUAUGAGCGAUUUAUUUUACAUUAAUACAAGGAUCUGUUUUAAAGGUUUACAAGGAGAUAUACGGAUAGGCUUAUUUGUGCGCUCUGACAUAAGAGACAAGGGGAUACAAGUGAUACUAGUCAAUUUUUACCCAAAUAUUUCAUUGUCUGAUUGGAAGUCUGGUGUUUAUGCAUGUUAAUGGUUCUACACAAGUGUCAUAUGUGGAUUAUAUUGGAUUUUGCAAUUCAUAUGAAUUGAUGCUGCAUAGGGAAAUUAUAUACGCUUUAAAAAGAAUGAAUGUUUUUCUAUGCAGUUUAUCUUGCAAUAUAUACAUGUAUGCCUGCUUUUUAAAACCAAUAGAUCUAUUUAGUAGUUGCUUUUAAUGAUUUUUAAUUGCAUAUACAUUUGCUAUAUGGUGCUUAAUUGAAGAAAUUUCGAUGUAUUGAGUUAAAGCAUGUAAUAACACAUUUGAAGUUUUACAAUGCUUUUAAUUACUGAUAGAUGGGGGAUUAUAUGGUGGUAAGAAAUCUUUUAAUUGACAUGCUUUUUAUCAGAAAAUGGUUGUGUUUCAUUACUAUUGCCUGUGUGAUAUGGUAUUUAAUCACAUUUUAGAAAGACACUGUUUUCUAAAGAGACUUAACUUUUUUUAAUUUAGGCAUACAAACAUGCAACAAGUCUUUAAAUUACUGUGAAAUCUAGUCAAUUCGUUGUGUCAUAAUCAAUUGAUGAUUUUUUUUCUCUUCCUUGUGAAUGUCGCAAGUCCCGUAAAGAGCAUGCUCUUCUCGUUUGGUAAUUAAGAGAAAGAAAGGUAUACAUGUAUCUUCUUACAUCAUUGAGAAUGAAGAAUGUACAUCGUUUGUUUUUGUGACAUGUAAAACUUUAGAAUGUUUUACAGGCUUAUUCUAAUCUUGUGUAACAGAAAGCUUGCUAGAGUAGAAUUUCAUGUAUUAAAUGUUAUGAUUUGACACACUUUACUGAAUGUUUGUUCACUUGAAAUGUAGAAUCUCAAAUUGUGAUAAUCUCUGAUUUGUCUUUCAAGUUUUUUAAGCACACAACAAAUAAAAGCUGAAGGG
rnacentral:misc_RNA from 1 species